rnacentral:rRNA from 1 species
AGAGUUUGAUCAUGGCUCAGAACGAACGCUGGCGGCAGGCCUAACACAUGCAAGUCGAGCGCCCGCAAGGGAGCGGCAGACGGGUGAGUAACGCGUGGGUACGUGCCCUUUGGUUCGGAAUAUUCCCGGGAAACUGGGAGCAAAACCGGAUAAGCCCUUCGGGGGAAAGUUUACGCCAAAGGAUCGGCCCGCGUUAGAUUAGGUAGUUGGUGGGGUAACGGCCUACCAAGCCUACGAUCUAUAGCUGAUCUGAGAGGAUGAUCAGCCACACUGGGACUGAGACACGGCCCAGACUCCUACGGGAGGCAGCAGUGGGGAAUCUUGGACAAUGGGCGCAAGCCUGAUCCAGCCAUGCCGCGUGGAUGACUGAAGGCCCUAGGGUUGUAAAGUCCUUUCGACGGGGACAAUAAUGACGGUACCCGUAGAAGAAGCCCCGGCUAACUUCGUGCCAGCAGCCGCGGUAAUACGAAGGGGGCUAGCGUUGUUCGGAUUUACUGGGCGUAAAGGGCGCGUAGGCGGAUUUUUAAGUCGGGGGUGAAAUCCCGGAGCUCAACUCCGGAACUGCCUUCGAUACUGAAAGUCUGGAGCACGGUAGAGGUGAGUGGAAUUCCGAGUGUAGAGGUGAAAUUCGUAGAUAUUCGGAGGAACACCAGUGGCGAAGGCGGCUCACUGGACCGUUGCUGACGCUGAGGCGCGAAAGCGUGGGGAGCAAACAGGAUUAGAUACCCCGGUAGU